rnacentral:rRNA from 1 species
GAUGAACGCUGGCGGCGUGCCUAAUACAUGCAAGUCGAACGGGGAGUAGCAAUACUCUUAGUGGCGAACGGUUGAGUAACGCGUUGGUACCUGCCCCGAAGCGGGGGGUAACGGACGGAAAGGUCCGCUAAUACCCCAUGUGCUCGGUAACGAGUAAAGGGGAAAACCACUUUGGGAGGGGGCUGCGUCCCAUCAGCUAGUUGGUAAGGUAACGGCUUACCAAGGCGGUGACGGGUCGGGGACCUGAGAGGGUGGCCCACCACAAUGGAACUGAAACACGGACCAUACACCUACGGGUGGCAGCAGUAGGGAAUAUUGGUAAUGGGCGCAAGCCUGAACCAGCACCGCCGCGUGUGCGAUGACGGCCUUCGGGUUGUAAAGCACUUUUGACUGGGACGAGGAAGGACGGUACCGGUCGAAUCAGCCUCGGCUAACUACGUG